CAACCCGAAAAAAACCGAAACCCCAGGGCGGGGAGGGCCGGGCUGCGCCUAUGGAGCAGCAAAACGGACACCCCCGCCGCCCCCCCGCAGCGCAGCCCAACUCCGGCCGGGCUCGGCUCCUCCUCGCAGCCCGCAGCGCCCCGGCCCCAUCGCCGCCGCCUCCUCUUCCUCCCCCUCCCCCUCGUCCUCUGCCUCCUCCCCUCGCCCGGGGCACCGGCGGCGCUGCGGAGGGAUCGCUCCCGGUACAGGGGUGGGGAGGAAGGAGGUGGAAGGCUCCGGCCCCGCUCGCCCGCAGCGCAACCGGUGCUGUUUGUUGCAGCCUAUGAUCUGUGCCUGUAUUUUUCCGACACGCGUCAGAGUCUUGAAUGAACAGGACCAUAAUCUCGGCCUGUCUCGCGUUCAAAUGAUUUCAGUGUGAUAAAUAAUAUGCUAAAUGUUUUAUGAUAUAUACUUACAAUAAAAUUAAACCAAGCUGC